UGGCUGGGCGGGGACAGAUGGUCGAUGGGCGUGGCCUUAUUGUAGGGGCGGGGCAAUGAUGAGGGGAGGGCGGGGCAAGGCAGGCCGGCACCGCCCCGGAAACACAGCCUCUGCCGACCGCGCUCCACGCGCCUCCCUACUUUGCCAGUUGGUUUCCCACGCGGGCUCCCCCCCCCCACCCCCACCGCCGAGUCCCAGCGCCUUCCGCAGGGCCGAGGGGUCGUCGCCAGCUCACCGGCAGCAGAGCCGGGCGGACCGCGCCCAGGGCUGACUCACAACGCGCUCACUGCUGACCUCGCUCCGGCUGAGCUACAAGACCUGGAGCAACUCAGCUGCUUCCGAAAACAGAGGUUAGAGUGCCACCCCCGCGGGGGUCGUCGGCUAAACCAUCACUUCUGUGAAGUGAAGAGAGUUCUAAAUAAACUUCUACUAAAUACCAUCUGAGCCUAUUCCUGCACAAAAGAGAGACUGAAGAAAAGAAAUUUGGGCCAAAUUCCAUAUUCCUGUCCUCUUUCAUGGCAGAAAAUUGGUCAAAGGCACCACAGUAGCAUGAAACUGAAAAGGAGUAGCAUCACCUACUGAAUGUUUAAGGGCAGUGCCUGCAACUGACCAGGAAGAGGCAGUAAGAGAGCAACCAGGUCUGCAGCACCUUCCUGCCUGGACUUGACUACCCCAGGAGCAGAGGGCCCAGGAAACUCUCCAAGCACUUCUCCACAGAAGAAAAUAGCUCGAGUUGAAACUUGUGUCCACAUGGUCCCCCGACGAAUUUAGAACUCAAAUUAUAGCCUCGGCAGGAAUCUUCACAAAGGACUCAAAUUAAGCAAGACCCAGAUGGAAACGAACAGGAGAAAGACAGCUUUAAGUCACACUGUAAAGUGAACUACAGUUCUAGCAGAGUCAGAGAGAAGAACUUGUUGAAACGCUAAACCAAACAGUUCAGCCUACAUUUCAGAACUCUACUUCAAGAACAUUCUCCCCCAUGUUUUUAGCCUGAGACUUGUGCAUGGACACGAAGUGGUUACAAGUUACUCAGGUUUCAAACUGAGUUCAUUCCUGUCCUUUGGACCAUCUCUCAAUGCCAGCAUUCAUCUACUUGGGCUCCAGAGAGCUCUGCGUUUGGCAAAGCAGAUAAAAUUAGCUACUGGAGUGAAUUUGGAAUCCAGGGUGGGCCAUUAAAAAAAGUACACAUGAGAUUUGUAAAAGCCAUGUAAAAACUUCCUUUGGGCCAGGCUGAAGUUACCUAAAACGUAGAGAAAUACUGUCCUUUGCCUC